CACGUAGGGCGCAAGCGUUGUCCGGAAUUAUUGGGCGUAAAGAGCUCGUAGGCGGACUGUCACGUCUGCUGUGAAAAGCUAGGGCUUAACCCUGGCCUUGCAGUGAAUACGGGCAGACUAGAGGUAGGUAGGGGAGAAUGGAAUUCCUGGUGUAGCGGUGAAAUGCGCAGAUAUCAGGAGGAACACCGAUGGCGAAGGCAGGUCUCUGGGCAUUAACUGACGCUGAGGAGCGAAAGCGUGGGGAGCGAACAGG
rnacentral:rRNA from 1 species